CCUACGGGUGGCAGCAGUGGGGGAUAUUGCACAAUGGGGGGAACCCUGAUGCAGCGACGCCGCGUGGGUGAAGGAGCGUUUCGGCGCGUAAAGCCCUAUCGGCAGGGAAGAAGAUGACGGUACCUGACCAAGAAUCCCCGGCUAACUACGUGCCAGCAGCCGCGGUAAUACGUAGGGGGCAAGCGUUAUCCGGAUUUACUGGGUGGAAAGGGGGCGCAGACGGCAAUGCAAGCCAGAAGUGAAAGCCCGGGGCCCAACCCCGGGACUGCUCUUGGAACUGCAUGGCUGGAGUACAGGAGGGGCAGGCGGAAUUCCUAGUGUAGCGGUGAAAUGCGUAGAUAUUAGGAGGAACAUCAGUGGCGAAGGCGACUAUCUGGCACAUAACUGACGCUGAGGAGCGAAAGCGUGGGUAGCAAACAGGAUUAGAUACCCCAGUAGUC
rnacentral:rRNA from 1 species